CUGAUUGAUUUUGGUCGCCAACGAGUGGCGGACGGGUGAGUAACACGUAGGUAACCUGCCCAGAAGCGGGGGACAACAUUUGGAAACAGAUGCUAAUACCGCAUAACAACGUUGUUCGCAUGAACAACGCUUAAAAGAUGGCUUCUCGCUAUCACUUCUGGAUGGACCUGCGGUGCAUUAGCUUGUUGGUGGGGUAACGGCCCACCAAGGCGAUGAUGCAUAGCCGAGUUGAGAGACUGAUCGGCCACAAUGGGACUGAGACACGGCCCAUACUCCUACGGGAGGCAGCAGUAGGGAAUCUUCCACAAUGGGCGCAAGCCUGAUGGAGCAACACCGCGUGAGUGAAGAAGGGUUUCGGCUCGUAAAGCUCUGUUGUUAAAGAAGAACACGUAUGAGAGUAACUGUUCAUACGUUGACGGUAUUUAACCAGAAAGUCACGGCUAACUACGUGCCAGCAGCCGCGGUAAUACGUAGGUGGCAAGCGCUAUCCGGAUUUAUUGGGCGUAAAGAGAGUGCAGGCGGUUUUCUAAGUCUGAUGUGAAAGCCUUCGGCUUAAUCCGGAGAAGUGCAUCGGAAACUGGAUAACUUGAGUGCAGAAGAGGGUAGUGGAACUCCAUGUGUAGCGGUGGAAUGCGUAGAUAUAUGGAAGAACACCAGUGGCGAAG
rnacentral:rRNA from 1 species